AUUCCGCAUCUCCCCAGCUCUCUUAGGCUUCAUGUGACAGAAGGCAACCACCAAACAUCGGUAGGAAGUACAUACCCCCAGGUGCCCCAUGGGGGACAGUGCAGGAAAGAAAAACUCAUGGUUGCCAGGCUUUCCUUCUUAUUCACAGGAGACUUGCAGAAGACAGCCAUGAGAAAAACCUAAACUGAGGACAUUCUACAAAAUACUUGCUCGUCAGCACUUCUCAGAACUGCUAAGGUUAUGUAUGAGAAACCAGGGAAGACAGAAACAGUCACAAAUCAUAGAUGGAGAAGUAUGACAACCAUCAUAUGGUACCACGGAUGGGACCCUGGCACAGAAAGAGGACAUGACUGGUAAAACAAGUGAAAUCUGAGACACCACGGAACCCUGAUCCCACCUCCUCCUUACCUGCCCCUCAGAUGGAAUCACUCAGGUUCCCAAAUAAGUCCCCUGCAUCCUCGCCUCGGCUCAUGCCAGCCCUUCCUUCUGGAAUGCUGUCCUGGCCACCCGGGCCUGCUGCUUCCCCACCAAGAUGUCCUCAGUCCCUGGGGGAAACGCAAUCCCACCAGCUGCAGCAUCAUCACACACGCCCUUUUCUCGCGGGUGUUCCGGGCUAGGGUCUCACUAGAGUGCAAGUUCCUUCAGGGAAGGGCUGCUUCUCAGUCAUUCUGGCAGCUCACCGACCCCAUCCGUACCUUGGACACAACAGUGAAUAAAUUCUAAAUUCAUGAAUAAAUGAU